rnacentral:rRNA from 1 species
GACGAACGCUGGCGGUGUGCUUAACACAUGCAAGUCGAACGGAAAGGCCCUGCUUUUGUGGGGUGCUCGAGUGGCGAACGGGUGAGUAACACGUGAGUAACCUGCUCUUGACUUUGGGAUAGCUUCAGGAAACUGGGGCUAAUACCGGAUAGGAGCUCCUGCUGCAUGGUGGGGGUUGGAAAGUUUCGGCGGUUGGGGAUGGACGCGCGGCUUAUCAGCUUGUUGGUGGGGUAGUGGCUUACCAAGGCUUUGACGGGUAGCCGGCCUGAGAGGGUGACCGGCCACAUUGGGACUGAGAUACGGCCCAGACUCCUACGGGAGGCAGCAGUGGGGAAUAUUGCACAAUGGGCGGAAGCCUGAUGCAGCAGCGCCGCGUGCGGGAUGACGGCCUUCGGGUUGUAAACCGCUUUCGCCUGUGACGAAGCGUGAGUGACGGUAAUGGGUAAAGAAGCACCGGCUAACUACGUG